CUGCCUACGGGAGGCAGCAGUGGGGAAUAUUGCACAAUGGGGGAAACCCUGAUGCAGCAACGCCGCGUGAAGGAAGACGGUUUUCGGAUUGUAAACUUCUAUCAAUAGGGAAGAAAGAAAUGACGGUACCUAAAUAAGAAGCCCCGGCUAACUACGUGCCAGCAGCCGCGGUAAUACGUAGGGGGCGAGCGUUAUCCGGAUUUACUGGGUGUAAAGGGAGCGUAGACGGUUCUGCAAGUCUGAAGUGAAAGCCCGUGGCUUAACCGCGGAACGGCUUUGGAAACUGUGGAACUGGAGUGCUGGAG
rnacentral:rRNA from 1 species